rnacentral:tRNA from 1 species
GGAUCCUUAGCUCAGUUGGUAGAGCAGUUCGCUGUUAACGAUCAGGCCACUGGUUCAAGUCCAGUAGGAUCCGCCA